rfam:Heterocephalus glaber contig74937, whole genome shotgun sequence.
UGAGGUGAGGGUGAUCUGGCUGCGACACGUGUCACCCCAUUGAUCGCCAGGGUGGACUCCCCUGAUCUGGCUGGCGGGCGGGUGUCCCCUUCCUCCCUCACCACUCCAUGUGUGUCCCUCCCAAAGCUGUGCACUCAUCGAAGAGGACGACCACCCCCGACAGAGGAUAGAGGAGGACCCUUUCCUUGGUCAAAGGUAUGCGAGGAGCUGCACUCCCCUGCUAGAACCUCCAAACAAGCUCUCAAGAUCACAGUGAGCCUCAACUCCUAUGCUGAGCGUGUCCUUUAACUUUUGUGUCAGGAACAUCCCCCUGCCAUUUAAA